GUGAGCGUAGCUCAGCUGGUUAGAGCACUGGACUGUGGCUCCAGGGGUCGGGGGUUCAAAUCCCCUCGCUCACCCCA
rnacentral:tRNA from 1 species